rnacentral:snRNA from 13 species
AUCGCUUCUCUGCCUUUUGGCUAAGAUCAAAGUGUAGUAUCUGUUCUUAUCAGCUUAAUCUCUGGUACGACUUCCAUACCAUACCUAUACAAAUUCAUAUGGAAUAUUGCAUAAAUUAGCCUAUUUUUCUUGGUACGGGGCCAAAAAACUGGCAUUGGGUUGCUAGAGAAAAAAAAACAAU